AGUUUGAUCCUGGCUCAGGACGAACGCUGGCGGCGUGCUUAACACAUGCAAGUCGAACGGAAAGGCCCUUCGGGGCACUCGAGUGGCGAACGGGUGAGUAACACGUGGGUGAUCUGCCCUGCACUUUGGGAUAAACCUGGGAAACUGGGUCUAAUACCGAAUAGGACCACGCGCUUCAUGGUGUGUGGUGGAAAGCUUUUGCGGUGUGGGAUGGGCCCGCGGCCUAUCAGCUUGUUGGUGGGGUAAUGGCCUACCAAGGCGACGACGGGUAGCCGGCCUGAGAGGGUGACCGGCCACACUGGGACUGAGAUACGGCCCAGACUCCUACGGGAGGCAGCAGUGGGGAAUAUUGCACAAUGGGCGCAAGCCUGAUGCAGCGACGCCGCGUGAGGGAUGACGGCCUUCGGGUUGUAAACCUCUUUCAAUAGGGACGAAGCGUGAGUGACGGUACCUAUAGAAGAAGCACCGGCCAACUACGUGCCAGCAGCCGCGGUAAUACGUAGGGUGCGAGCGUUGUCCGGAAUUACUGGGCGUAAAGAGCUCGUAGGUGGUUUGUCGCGUUGUUCGUGAAAACUCACAGCUUAACUGUGGGCGUGCGGGCGAUACGGGCAGACUAGAGUACUGCAGGGGAGACUGGAAUUCCUGGUGUAGCGGUGGAAUGCGCAGAUAUCAGGAGGAACACCGGUGGCGAAGGCGGGUCUCUGGGCAGUAACUGACGCUGAGGAGCGAAAGCGUGGGGAGCGAACAGGAUUAGAUACCCUGGUAGUCCACGCCGUAAACGGCGAAAACUAGGUGUGGGUUCCUUCCCUCGGGAUCCGUGCCGUAGCUAACGCACUAAGUACCCCGCCUGGGAGUACGGCCACAAGGCUAAAACUCAAAGGAAUAGACGGGGGCCCGCCCACGCGGCGGAGCAUGUGGAUUAAUUUGAUGCAACGCGAAGAACCUUACCUGGGUUUGACAUGCACAGGACGCCGGCAGAGAGGUCGGUUCCCUUGUGGCCUGUGUGCAGGUGGCGCAUGGCUGUCGUCAGCUCGUGUCGUGAGAUGUUGGGUUAAGUCCCGCAACGAGCGCAACCCUCGUCCUAUGUUGCCAGCGGGUUAUGCCGGGGACUCGUAGGAGACUGCCGGGGUCAACUCGGAGGAAGGUGGGGAGGACGUCAAGUCAUCAUGCCCCCUAUGUCCAGGGCUUCACACAUGCUACAAUGGCCGGUACAAAGGGCUGCGAUGCCGUGAGGUGGAGCGAAUCCUUUCAAAGCCGGUCUCAGUUCGGAUCGGGGUGUGCAACUCGACCCCGCGAAGUCGGAGUCGCUAGUAAUCGCAGAUCAGCAACGCUGCGGUGAAUAAGUUCCCGGGCCUUGCACUCACCGCCCGUCA
rnacentral:rRNA from 1 species